GAUUAGAACUCUUAACUAGGUAAAAGCCUUGGAAACUGCAGCCAUGGGGUGAGAGCUUUGCAGCCGGCUCCCGGGAAGGUGCUGCCUUCAGAUUGUGCCUAAUUAAGCUCGAGUUCAGCCAAGCAGGCCCGGCAGGGUGGAAGGUCUCCCAAAAGAUUAGUUAAGUGUGGGUUGAUGAUUCCAGUUUGAAAGCAUUGGGUUUGUUUUGCUUAUUGCUUUCCUGCAAACCAACUUCACCCUCGGUGAGGGGUGUGGGAUUGACUGCUCUGCAAAGAGAAGCCCUCAAGGCAAAACGUUUUGGAGUCAUGGAAGGAGCAGCACCACACAGAACCCAGGGGAUGUUUUCAAAGCACCCAGGCUUGGGAUAGCAGAAACAGAUGUUCCCAAACUCACAGCCACUAUCAGGACCACAUCAUCAUCAUCAUCGUGACAGAGACAGUGAAGGCUCUCUGUGUUCUCCUUAACAUGUGUUGCCCAGAAGCUGCUCCAUAUGCUGGAGAGACACAGCCGUGAGAGGAGGAGAAAGAGAAGCAAGAAAAGACAACAGAUCUACUCCUGCCUGUGCUGAGGACAUCUCCUCAAGAGCAAGGAUCUGACAUCUUAAAGUUGAAAGCACAUUUAAAAGCUUUUAGGCUGCUCUUCAUUUAAAACAAGGUCCACCUACAGUUGAAAUUAUCCUAUUUCCUUUGCCCUCUCUCCCCCUUGCCCUCCUCUGUUGGCACUAAGCAAUGGGGCACCAAAUGAU